AGCCAAACCCACGUCCUCUAAAGAAGAUUGUAUUUACUCUUCUGUCCAGCCCGGGUGCUCAUCAGAUGGAGGGUCCAGUGAUGCAACGUAUGCUCAAGUUAGAAAGGGAGCCAAAAAACCUGGAAACAAAAAUGCUUGACAAUAACACAGGUUCACUUCAAGUGACUCCAACUGCACACUGAUGAAGUAGCAAAGCCUGGAUGUGUGAGAUCAACAUCAUGAUCAAGAGCCAUGCACCCAUAAACAUCAUUUAACCAGAAGUAACGGGUAUCAACAGGUUGUGUUAGUGAGAAGCACAGUGACUGCACUGCCAGAGUUAUUCCUUCCCUGUGCUGAGUGUCUUUCUGGUACUUUAGUAUAAUACAUGUUUAUCAUCUUUGACUGAAUGCUACAAUAGCCCCGGGAAACUGUGUAAACAGGAACAUACUGUAUUACAUUUUUCUUGUGAUGUUUCUAUGUAUCAUUGCCAUAA